rnacentral:rRNA from 1 species
GGCUCUUUGACAAAAACAUAUAGAGAGUCGAACCUGCCCAGUGAACAGUUUAACGGCCGCGGUACCCUGACCGUGCAAAGGUAGCAUAAUCAUUUGCCUUAUAAUUGAAGGCUUGUAUGAAUGGUCUGACGAAAGCAAUACUGUCUCUUCUUUAUUAUCUAGAAAUUAACCUAUGGGUGAAGAGGCCUAUAUUAUAUUGAAGGACAAGAAGACCCUGUCGAGCUUUAGAGUAAAGCAGGAAUAUAAGUAUUAAAAAAAAAUCAAUGACUACAUAACUCUUUAGUUGGGGCGACUAAGGAACAAAUAAAGCUUCUUUUAGUUUUUUAGAUCAAUAAAUUUAGAUCCAGCAAAGCUGAUUAAAAGAAUUAGUUACCGCAGGGAUAACAGCAUAAUCUCUCUUGAGAGACCUAAUCGAAAGAGGGGGUUGUGACCUCGAUGUUGGACUAAAAUAUCCUGAAGAUGCAGACGUCUUCGAAGGUUGGUCUGUUCGACCAUUAAAAUUUU